rnacentral:rRNA from 1 species
AUACGUAGGGGGCGAGCGGUGUCCGGAAUGAUUGGGCGUAAAGGGCGCGUAGGCUGCCCGGUAAGUCUGGAGUGAAAGUCCUGUUUUUAAGAUGGGAAUUGCUUUGGAUACUGUCGGGCUUGAGUGCAGGAGAGGUAAGUGGAUUUCCCAGUGUAGCGGUGAAAUGCGUAGAGAUUGGGAGGAACACCAGUGGCGAAGGCGACUUACUGGACUGUAACUGACGCUGAGGCGCGAAAGUGUGGGGAGCAAACAGGAUUAGAUACCCUGGUAGUCCACACUGUAAACGAUGAAUGCUAGGUGUAGGGGGUAUCGACCCCUUCUGUGCCGCAGUCAACACAAUAAGCAUUCCGCCUGGGGAGUACGGCCGCAAGGUUGAAACUCAAAUGAAUUGACGGGG